rnacentral:rRNA from 1 species
UACGUAGGGUGCAAGCGUUGUCCGGAAUUAUUGGGCGUAAAGAGCUCGUAGGCGGUUUGUCGCGUCUGCUGUGAAAUCUGGGGGCUCAACCCCCAGCCUGCAGUGGGUACGGGCAGACUAGAGUCAGGUAGGGGAGAACGGAAUUCCUGGUGUAGCGGUGAAAUGCGCAGAUAUCAGGAAGAACACCCGUGGCGAAGGCGGCUCUCUGGGACGGUACUGACGCUGAGGAGCGAAAGCGUGGGGAGCGAACAGG